rnacentral:rRNA from 1 species
AUAAGCCAGCUUGACUGCGAGACAAACAAGUCGAGCAGGGACGAAAGUCGGUCUUAGUGAUCCUCAGUGGCAUAGUGGUAUGCCCUGAGCUUAACGGAUAAAAGCUACCUUGGGGAUAACAGGCUUAUCGCAUCCAAGCGUUCACAGCGACGAUGCGGUUUGGCACCUUUUGAAUUAAAUCAUUGGGGCGCCUACAAAGAGAUUUGUAAAAGUCUGGUCCCGAUAGGCAUUUUGAGAAAUGCAUCGGGAUAAAAUUGACUAGUUAAAAUCGGUGGACGCCCCGCCUUGGCGGGGUCAAUACCGAGGUCGCCUUAGGCGACCGUAUCGACUUGUCCGAUGCAAAAUGUCGGACAGAUGGAAGUUUUUAAUUCGCCGACUGGCGGAAAAUCUAUGACUUCUAUAAAAGACUAGCUCCUAAAGUGAUGUUUAGGAUGAAGGUAUAGUCAGAUCCUCUUGGCAACAAGAGGACGCAUUCCGAGGAUUCGGAAUCGCGAUGUCGGCUCAUCGCAUCCUGGGGGUGGAGAAGCUCCCAAGGGUCGGGCUGUUCGCCCGUUAAAGCGGUACGCGAGCUGGGUUCAGAACGUCGUAAGACAGUAGACCUAUAGCGUUAAUUACGCUAUUAAAUGAGCUGUCUAUAAAUCUAGCUAUUUGCUGGAAACUCCGGAGUAUCUUCAGCUACUUGACAAGUAAGCUAUCGUAGAGUUACGAUAACUUUAUGUCUAGUGAUAAUGUUGGAAGUGCGGACAAUCAGCAGGCAGCUGGGAAAGAAAUUUCUAAUGAGUAUUUAGCGGGAUUCACCGAUGGUGAGGGGUGUUUCUAUGUGGGGUUUGGUAAGAGAAAAGAUUUGCCUCUUAAAUGGCAGGUGAUUACCGAAUUUCAUGUAAGUCAAAAUCCAGGCGGAAAAAAUGUUUUGGAAGAGUUCAGAAAAAGGCUUGAUUGCGGUUAUUUAAAACCCAAUCAUGCAAAGAGCUUAAAAGACAAAACUUGGAUUUUAAUCGUAAAAGACAGAAAGGAUUUAAAGGAAAAACUUAUUCCUUUCUUUCAGGAACACAGUCUGCACACAAGCAAACAAAAAGAUUUUGAAAUUUUUGUAAAAGUGCUUGAAAAGAUUAAAACAGGAAAGCAUUUAACUAAAGACGGUUUUAAACAAAUCGUUGAGUUAGUUUUUGCCACUACCCGGGUAACAAAUAAAAGAUACUCAAAAGAAUCGCUUCUUUCCUAGAGCCUCAGAGACUACAUACUAGAUGAUGCAUUAAAUAGUGCGUCAAAGAUAUAGUCCGAACUGCAUGGCGACAUGUAGAGCGCAACAGAAAUGUUGUGUUCCCGAUCGAAUCGGGAUAACAUAUUGUCGGUCUCUAUCCAGGACAACCGAUUGAAAUUUGAGGAGAUUCGUCCCUAGUACGAGAGGACUGGGAUGAGGAAACCCCUGGUGUGCCAGUUGUUCUUACAAGAGCAGCGCUGGGUAACUAUGUUUCCAACGGAUAACCGCUGAAAGCAUCUAAGUGGGAAGCCGCCUCCAAGAUUAGAUUUCUAUCCCGUACCACUUUGCUCAUCAGGUAAAGUUUAAACUUUAUUUAGGUUUAACCUUGCUUGGUUGGUAAAGUGGUGCGGGAGUAAACCCCUUGUAGACUACAAGGUUGAUAGGCAGGCAGUGGAAGAACCGUAAGGUUUUAAGCUUACCUGUACUAAUGGUU